rnacentral:rRNA from 1 species
AUUGAACGCUGGCGGCAGGCUUAACACAUGCAAGUCGAGCGAGCGGCGGACGGGUGUGUAAUGUAUGGGGACUGCUCGAUCGCGGGGGAUAACUACUGGAACCGGUAGCUAAUACCGCAUACUAUCGGAUAACCCAUAUGGGAUUAGCUAGUAGGUGAGGUAAUGGCUCACCUAGGCGACGAUCACUAGCUGGUCUGAGAGGGUGUUCAGCCUCACUGAGGCUGAGACACGGCCCAGCCACCUACGGAGGCAGCGGUGGGGAAUAUAGCACGAUGGGCGCAAGCCUGAUUCAGCCAUGCCGCGUGUAUGAAGAAGGCCCUAGGGUUGUAAAGUACUUUCAGUCGGGAGGCGUUACCGGCAGAAGAAGCACCGGCUAACUCCGUGCCAGCAGCCGCGGUAAUAC